rnacentral:rRNA from 1 species
GGCGGCGUGCCUAACACAUGCAAGUCGUACGAGAAAGUUGGCUUCGGCUGAUGAGUAAAGUGGCGCACGGGUGAGUAACGCGUGGAUAAUCUGCCUUUUAGUUGGGAAUAACGUACCGAAAGGUGCGCUAAUACCGGAUAAUACUGCAUAACUACUGUUGUGUAGUCAAAGAAGGCCUCUGUUUACAAGCUUUUGCUGAAAGAUGAGUCCGCGUACCAUUAGCUAGUUGGUAGGGUAAUGGCCUACCAAGGCUACGAUGGUUAGCUGGUCUGAGAGGAUGAUCAGCCACACUGGAACUGAGACACGGUCCAGACUCCUACGGGAGGCAGCAGUGAGGAAUAUUGCGCAAUGGGGGCAACCCUGACGCAGCAACGCCGCGUGAGUGAGGAAGGUUUUCGGACCGUAAAGCUCUGUCGAGCGGGAAGAAAUGUAUCGUGGCUAAUAUCCAUGAUAUUUGACGGUACCGCUAAAGGAAGCACCGGCUAACUCCGUG